GACGAACGCUGGCGGCGUGCUUAACACAUGCAAGUCGAACGGAAAGGCCCUGCUUUUGUGGGGUGCUCGAGUGGCGAACGGGUGAGUAACACGUGAGUAACCUGCCCUUGACUUUGGGAUAACUUCAGGAAACUGGGGCUAAUACCGGAUAGGAGCUCCUGCUGCAUGGUGGGGGUUGGAAAGUUUCGGCGGUUGGGGAUGGACUCGCGGCUUAUCAGCUUGUUGGUGGGGUAGUGGCUUACCAAGGCAUUGACGGGUAGCCGGCCUGGGAGGGUGACCGGCGACAUUGGGACUGAGAUACGGCCCAGACUCCUACGGGAGGCAGCAGUGGGGAAUAUUGCACAAUGGGCGGAAGCCUGAUGCAGCAACGCCGCGUGCGGGAUGACGGCCUUCGGGUUGUAAACCGCUUUCGCCUGUGACGAAGCGUGAGUGACGGUAAUGGGUAAAGAAGCACCGGCUAACUACGUG
rnacentral:rRNA from 1 species